GACGAACGCUGGCGGCGUGCUUAACACAUGCAAGUCGAACGGAAAGGCCCCUUUGGGGGUACUCGAGUGGCGCACGGGUGAGUAACACGUGAGUAACCUGCCCUUGACUUCGGGAUAACUUCAGGAAACUGGGGCUAAUACCGGAUAGGAAUCCUUGCUGCAUGGUGGGGGUUGUAAAGCUUCGGCGGUUUUGGAUGGACUCGCGGCUUAUCAGCUUGUUGGUGGGGUAGUGGCUUACCAAGGCUUUGACGGGUAGCCGGCCUGAGAGGGCGACCGGCCACAUUGGGACUGAGAGACGGCCCAGACUCCUACGGGAGGCAGCAGUGGGGAAUAUUGCACAAUGGGCGGAAGCCUGAUGCAGCAACGCCGCGGGCGGGAUGACGGCCUUCGGGUUGUAAACCGCUUUCAGCAGGGGAGAAGCUUGUGGUGACGGUACCUGCAGAAGAAGCACCGGCUAACUACGUG
rnacentral:rRNA from 1 species